rnacentral:misc_RNA from 1 species
CGGAACUGCUAUAUUUAAACCAAAAUGACAUCUGUCGGUGACAAAUGUAAUCAUGGUCGUUAAAUUCCGAUAAUGAGUAAGAAAUCAAAAAAGUAGUUAAAUUUAAGAAUUCUCCUUUAACGUUGCUCGUUUUUAAUCGUAUAAAUUGUGUUAAUUAAUCGGUUUGUUGAAGUUUAAACCGUCGGGAAUCGUGUUAUGUUUGUCUUAUGAAAAUUUUUAACCGCAUCCACUUAAACCGAUCGUUUGCGUUAAUUCAACGGAUGUUUGAGCCAAAAAAUAUGGACAAUUCUAUGUUUGAGACAUGACUAAUCAUACAUUGGAAAUUCGUCAAGACACUAACUUUUAAUCUGCCUGCCAUUCCAGGAACAUGGAAGUCGAAGAUGAGUACGAAGAGACUCCACUCGGCGUCGCCAUCCUCACCUACUUCAGUUACAUGAUCCUCAUCAUCUUCGGUUAUCUGCGGGAGUUUCUCAGGAGAGUCGGACUGGAGGACCAGCGGUGUGCCGUGGAAAGGAACAGAGAGGGUUACGUUCCUCUCUAUCAGAAAUUCGAAAGCUUUUAUAAUCACAAUGUCUACAGAAGAAUCAGGGACUGUUGGAGUAAGCCCAUCUGCAGUGCUCCCGGCGUCAUGGUCGACAUCAAAGAUAGGGUCUCCACCGACUACAAUUGGCAUUUUACCAUAUUUCUUCUCCAAAAAGCUACUUAACUAAUCGGCCAGAGUUUUUCUUUAACGUCUCUCGUAAGCUGCUACUUUGCCUUUACAAAAAAGACUGGCUUCGAGCUGUAGGCAUUCUCAAGCACAAGUAACGCAGGAUGCCAGGUACAUCCAUCAAAGCAGUCAAUUUAGGUUCCUAUAAUUAUUUAGGAUUUGCUAUAAACGAAGGAAGGUGUAUCGACAAAGUCGAGUCGUCCAUCUCUGCGUAUGGAGUGGGCGUGUGUACCACACGCCACGAAUUAGGUAAAAAAACCAAUGAUUUGUCGAUUUUCAUCCUCGUGAAUAUCGAAACGACACAUCGUAUUUUUAAGGUUACAAAAUAGGACUUUAUUGGAUUUAAUUAAUGUAUUUGCCAGCAUAUAAGAGGCACCCCAUUUUCAGAUGGUAUAUUUUUGAGAAAAAGUGUCUCUUAUAUGUGGUACAUUAAAUUCAAUAGAAAUUUAUACACUAGCAUAAUGACAUUUUAAAACUUUCAUAUCAAUUACCUUACCAAAACUUCCAUAAAUUAAUUAUUUAGAGAGAGAGCAAUGUUUAGUGUUUUUAUUAAAAUUUGUUUCACGUAGAUGAUGAUGAAAACUAUGCAAAGUUUGCUCUAGAAAUAAACUGUCCCACUAAAUACAUUUUUUUAGUUAUAAAAAUUUACCAAUAUUAUUAAUUUAAUUAAAAAUAAUGUAACCCACUUCUAAUCCGGUUUCAUAAAGGGAUGUUUUGUUAUU